CCUUCCGCCUUCCGUCUGGCCUUCCUUUCUUACGCUCUCACAACCUUGACUUUUCAGCUCAAUUUAUAACUUACUUGACAUAAAAUAUCAUUAGCAAGUCUAAUGGAAAAUUCCAGUGAAGGAGAGAACCCGCCUCCACUAUGGGAUGGUUAGCUAUUAAUUAAAGCUGACACAUGCCCUCCGCGCUACCCUCCAUGAUGUGUGUGACAGAUCAAGGUGUUGCCUCUUAACAGUCGGAACGCCAGCUGGCUGCAGAGUGCAGAGGUGGUGGAAUAGUGUACCAGCUCCCACGGGGCUCUCAGGGUGACCAGAGGACUCCAGGCUGGGACAUGGUUGCAACAGGUCUCUCCAAGAUGACAUCUGGGCUUCUGAGCGAGCUUGGAGGAAAAGAAAAGAUUUCUGUUUUCAAAUUCUUCUACUAAAAAUGAAUUCCUUGGGCUGGGGUUUUAGCUCAGUGGUCGAGCGCUUGCCUCACAUGCAUGAAGCCCUGGGUUCCAUCCUCAGCACCACAUUAAACAAAUAAAGAUAUUGUGUCCAUCUACAACUAAAAAAAUGUUUAAAAAAAUGAA